rnacentral:lncRNA from 10 species
UAUGCAGAUGUUGAUUCCAGAAAGUAUCAUAUGUGGUCAGGAACAUGAGACAGAGAAAGAACGAAAACCCAAAUAAGAAUUUACUAAGUGUUGCAAAAGAUAUGAGAGCCCUGCUGGUCAUAUGACCUGACCUUGCAACAAGAAGCUAGAGGGCAGCUACAGGAAUCUCUAACUUGCUAGCCAUUGAUGUUGGGCUGCUCAUUCAGAAAGACAUCCAGCUUUGAGGAUGAAGCUUCCAG